GUACUUACAAUUACCGUACGCGUAACCUACGGUGGCCUAAGGUGCAUCANGCGUUUUAAUAGCAGCUCGCGCUACAAGUUAUAGAAAGUCCAACAAACCACAAUGACGGUUAUAGCGGGCUAGUUUUGUUAUUCAUUUAAAACAAUGUAGUUCAAGGCAAAAUCCCUAAUGUAGUUAAAGUAAGGUGCCCUUCCGUAAAAAAGCUAAAAAUAUUGCGCUAUGUUGUUCCCCUUUAGGGGAAGGCAAAGCAAAAAAAAUACCCCCUCGGAAAGCCUGUGUUCACGCACGUUGUAGCUUUUCAUCCCCUCCGGGUUACCAAAGGGGACAACGUCGUUAAGCCUAGUUGUAGUAAACGAAGUGCCACGAACUCAUUGCAGUUUAACUACGUUUAAUUUUUUACCAUAAAGCAAAGAUUUUAUCUUAUUUUAAAUAUUAAAAACAUACGUAACGUGAAAAAUAUUGCUAUGUUCUUUGAUCUUCCGGUGCUAUGCUAUGCACCGUCAUAGUCCUGGUAUAUUAUAGUACUGGUAUAUUAUAGUAUUAUUAAGGAAACUCAAAAAAAAUACAUUUAAUAAAUAAAAUUACUAUAAAAAUGUAUAAAAUCAGCAAUGUCUGAGUAAAAAAGCUUUGAGUGAGUUCUUUUUUGUUUUUUAGUUUACUGUAUUAAUUUAAAUCGAAAUUAAAUCCUAGAUGUACCUAGCAAUAUGAACUUUGUUAUAAACUUCCAUUCACGUGUUACUUUACAACGAUAAGCCAAGCCAGCUGGAAGUUAUUUUUUGUUGUUAAACUACAUUCCACAAGUUAUGAACAACGGUCUACGUCACGGGGUUCCCAGUCUAAUGUACCUUAACUAAGUUAGNN
rnacentral:lncRNA from 1 species